rnacentral:rRNA from 1 species
UACGGAGGAUGCGAGCGUUAUCCGGAUUUAUUGGGUUUAAAGGGUGCGUAGGCGGGCGUUUAAGUCAGCUGUGAAAGUUUGAGGCUCAACCUUAAAAUUGCAGUUGAUACUGAACGUCUUGAGUAUGUUAAAGGCCGGCGGAAUUCGUGGUGUAGCGGUGAAAUGCUUAGAUAUCACGAAGAACUCCAAUUGCGUAGGCAGCUGGCUGGGCCAUAACUGACGCUGAGGCA